AUAGAUGACAUGUCCAUCAUGGGCCUCCUGCAGUGCCACAAUGAUGCCACCCGAAGGUUGCAGGAACAGCAACUCAUAUUCCGCUUGGGAACCCCGCAGCCCAAUGGUAUCAAUGUGGACUUCACCAGUUUCAAAAUCUCCCCUUCCCCCACUGCAUCCCAAAACCAGCCCAGUUCGUUCCCUCCCUCCACUGCACCACACAACCGGCCCAGCUCUUCCCCUCCACCCACUGCAUCCCAAAACCAGUCCAACCUGUCUCUGCCUCCCGAACCUGUUCUUCCUCUCACCCAUCCCUUCCUCCCACCCCAAGCCGCACCUCCAUCUCCUACCUACUAACCUCAUUCCACCUCCUUGACCUGUCCGUCUUCCCUGGACUGACCUAUCCCCUCCCUACCUCCCCACCUAUACUCUCCUCUCCACCUAUCUUCUUUUCUCUCCAUCUUCGGUCCGCCUCCGCUUCUCUCCCUAUUUAUUCCAGAACCCUCACCCCAUCCCCCUCUCUGAUGAAGGGUCUCGGCCAGAAACGUCAGCUUUUGUGCUCCUGAGAUGCUGCUGGGCCUGCUGUGUUCAUCCAGCCUCACAUUUUAUUAUCUGUUAACAACAGGGGUCUGAUUCCUACUGAAAGGCACUGGUCACAGAUCUGUAGCUACUUUUCAUCUUCUAUGACAAAGCCAGUUCUGUACCCAACUCACGAUGUAACCUGGGUCACUUAGACUUCUGUAUCAGCCUGCCACAAGGGACCUUGUCAAAGGCCUUGCUGAAGCUCAUGUGGAUAACAUGCAUCUUGGCUUCCUGCCUCUCACAAACUGGAUUGUGUUUUUUUUUUGAAUAAGUGGUGAAGAUGAUCGAUGAAGACAGUGCAGUGGAUGUUGUCUGCAUGUACUCUACUGAAGCAUUCGACAAGCUCCCUCAUGGUAGCUGGGCCCAGAAGAUUAUGUCAUAUGAGAUCAAUCCAUGACGAUUGGGAGAAGCUGAUUUGUGAAUGGCAAAUGCAAAGUAAACAUCACUAGUCAGGAUCUGAUUAUCAUCAGCUUUUCAAUGUGGAAAUAGAAAUGCUUGCCUCUUCUGUCUGUUGGGGAAAACUUCAUCGUGAGACACAGAAACACCCAAAUGAGAAUGUUACCGUGCACUGACUGUGUAAAGAGCUUUAACCAAUUACGAUGCCUGAAUAAGCAUUCCACCAUUCUCAACCCAGAGAAAUUACACGUUUUUUAAUGUAAAAGAGGUUUCAGCAAAUCAUCCAACCUGGAGAGACACAAAGACACCAGCACCAUGUACAAACCAUGGAAAUGUGAGUACUGUGGGAAGAGAUUCAGUUGGCCAUCCCAGCUGGAAAUACAUGGACGCACUCACACGGGGGACAGGCCGUUCACCUGCUCCAAGUGUGGAAGAGGAUUCAGAGAGUCAACCAACCUGCUUGCUCACCAGCGGGUUCACACUAAUGACAGACCUUUUAAAUGUUCAGACUGUGGAAAGUGCUACAAAUGUUCUGGGGACCUGAUGUCCCAUAAACGUGUUCACACCAAUGAGAAACCUUUCAGGUGUUCUCACUGCAAGACUGGAUUCAGAAAAUCACCUGAACUCUGUGUACAUCAGCGCACCCACACUGGGGAGAGGCCAUAUACCUGCUCUGCAUGCAGGAAGGGAUUCAUUAAUUCAUCCAACCUGUUGAGACACCAGCGAGUUCAUUCUGCGAAGAGAACUUUUAAAUGUUCUGACUGUGAGGAGACUUUUAAAAGUAGCAAUAACCUGCUGAGACACCAAUGCACUCACACUGGAGAGAAGCCAUUCACCUGCUCUGUGUGUAGGAAAGCAUUUACACGAUCAUCGACCCUGGUCACACACCAGCGAAUUCACACUGGGGAGCGACCAUUCACCUGCUCCAUGUGUGUAAAGAAAUUCACAUGUGCAUCUCACCUUCUGAAACACCAACGCACUCAUACAGAGGACAGGCCAUUUAUUUGCUCUGUUUGUGGGAAGGGAUUCACUGAGUCAUCCAACCUGCUGCAACAUCAGCGAGUUCACAACUGACUGGGAGUCAGAUUCUGACAGUAUCGCUGCUGGUCAUUACAGCCAGGACUGAACUAGCAAGUUGAUCUUGAGGAGAGCAAGAAGUGCGUUCCAGCCAUUUUCUUCCAUGGCACAGAAAUCCUAGCCCUUGAUCAGAAAACCCUUUACAAUUGUGUAUAAAGUCAGAAAUAACAAUGAUGAAAGCUGGAAAUGUGCUGUCAAAUCAAAAUUGGUGUAGAACGAUGACCUUUCCUGGCUGGAAGUUAAUGGGCACAUUUCUGCUUUCCGUACAUUAGUAAACACAAAACUGGAACAAAACCUUCCAUUGCUAAUAUGGCAUCUCUCAGCCUUCUCUUUUCCAAGGAAAAGAUCUUCAGGCUUUCCUAAUAUUGGAUGGAGAAUAUGUACAAGUGGAAAACUCAAAUAUCACAUCAGGAUCUGACAGUGAUGCUUGAUUCCUGGAAACAGAAAGCACCCCAUUCACAGAGUGAAGAAACUGCAGCACGUUGUGGAUGUGGAUGAGGCUGCAGUUGAUCAUCUGGAUUGCAAAAACACAAGCAGAGUCACAUUGGGGAGAAACCAUAUAAAUGUAGGGACUGUGAGAAUGUAUUCAAUUAUUCAUAUGAGCUGGAAUAUCAUUGACGCAGUCAUCCAGCAGAGAGGUUGAUCUGUUGCAGUGAAUGUGGUGAAGCAUUUUUUCAUUCAUCCACCUUGCUGAUGGCCUAGCAGGUUCACACUGGAGAGAGGCCAUUUAACUUUUCUGUGUGUGGGAAGAGGUACAUAUUUUUAUUUGCAAAAUUGAGACAGUGUCAUUGCUGUGACUGGGAUAAGAGCUUUAAAUGUCCGUGUGGACUGAGGGAGAACCAGCACAUUCCCAUUGGAUACUCCCCAUUCCAAAGCUCUUACUGCAGCAAGAAAUUCAGGCGAUCAUCCAGCCUGUCGAUACAUCAGUGAAUUCACACUGGGGGGAGAGCUUUCACAUGCUCUUGUGUGUGGGAAGGGAUUCAUUAAUUCGUCCAAGCUGCUAGUACACCAGUAUCUACGCUGGCGAGAAAUCUUUCCAAUGCCUAGGUUCAGGAACAAUCAAAAGGAAAUUGGACAAGUGCUUGAAAGAAAAUAGUUUCAGGCUGAUUGAGGAGGCAGCGGCGGAGAGGGUGAAGUUUGAAACCCAGUCAUGUCACUGCAGACAGGUCGCCAUGUCAACACUGACAAACAUUCCGUUCCACAUUGUUUCACACAAGUGGCUAGAAUGUCAAAGUAAAAUCUUAAAUAAUGGGGAAGGUUAUUAUCUGAAAUGUGCAGCCAGAGAGGGUGGUAGAGGCAGAUUUACUGGAGAUUUACAAGAGGAGAUUGCCACUGGAUGAAUUUCUCAGUCAGGUGGUCACCCAAAUGUUACAGGAAGUAGCUGAAGGAUUGACAAUUGCUGAUUUGAGACUCAGGCACCAGCACCAGCACCACCAUCAGCUUCCAUCCCCCACUCCCUCAAUAAUAAACCCUCCAGUGCAGACUGUUAACUGGUAUCAAUUUCCCUCUGCAUCUUACAAUUGGGGCACUGUCGAAUGGAGGUUAGUGCUUGUUCAGCAAUUCCCUGUAACUACCGCAGUGCAAGUUCUGUUCUGCAGCCUCUGAGCUGAAUGGCUUGAAAAACUUCCUGUUGCCCUGCCCUUACUUGGCCUGUUUGGGCCCACGACCUUCUGGAAAGUUGCUCAGUGGCAAAGUGUGAAAAUUUUGCCCACUUGAAUUGAGUUUUGUGUCCUACAGAAAGGAGACUGGAGGCGUGGUGUCAUGAUGCAAUGAUAAACAGCCUCGCUCUCCAUGUCAGCAAAACAAAAGAACUAAGCAUUGACUUCAGGAAGAAUGGAGGAGAACACAUUCCCAUCUCAGCCAACAGAGCAGAAAUUGAGAGUUAAGUUUCUAGGAGUGAUGAUAAUCAACAAACUGGUCUGGACUUACCAGUUAGACAUGACAGUCAAGAAGGCACAAUGACGGCUCUUCUUCUGCAGGCAGCAUAGGAAAUUUGCCAAGGUCAUAAGGACCAUCACCAACUUUUACAGAUGCACCAUUGAAAGCAUACUGCCCAGGUUCAAAAUGCCCUGGUACGGCAACUGCUCUGCCCACGACUGUACAAACUGUAGAAGACGGUGUGCGCAGGCCACACCAUCAUGGAAGCCAACCUUCCACCCAUGGACUACAUGCCUACAAAGAAAGGCUACCAACAUCAUAAAAGACCCCUCCCACUGUGUAAUGCUCUCCCACAACCUCUUCCAUCAGGCAGAAGAUACAGUAGCUUGAACACACGCACCAGCAGGUUCAAGAACAGCUUCUUUCCAGACAUUAUUAGACUGAUGAAUGGACUAUCUAACUUCAAAUCAUGUUAAAAUGUUGAUCUUGCUCUGCACAUCUCCUGUGUGACGUAAGCUACACACCUCACUCUGUGCCAGCAUCCUAUGACCUGUAUAUCCUUGCUUACUAUGGUUUGCCUGUAGUAGUCACAAGACAAAGUUUUACACCGUACACAUGGCAGUAAAUAAAUAAGGUCAAAUCUCGAGGUGUUCUCUCGUCUAGACAGGGCUGUCCUCACCACAGUCCUCCCUCCAGUCUGAUUGCUAGGUUUCACCUCUGAGCCCUUCACUUACUGCUGUCCUGCUGCUGAUCUUCACCUCAGGCAUUUUCUUGCUACUAACCACCAUUUCUCUAGGUGUAGUCACUGUGUGCCUCAAAGUCUGAAUAUCAGUUUCUGAGACCCUUGGACAGACUGGACAGGACGUAAUACCAUUUCAGACAAGCGCCAUUGUUUACGAAAGCCCAUGUGCAGAGCCAUCUGAUGGGCCGAAUAGUCUACUCCCGUGUUGCUAUGACUUGUAAUUCUUUUAAUGUAUAUUUCUUUAUUCUGGUAUUUUAACAAAAUAAAACAGAGAAAUCCUAGAAA